UGGGGAAUUUUCCGCAAUGGGCUAACGCCUGACGGAGCAAUACCGCGUGAGGGAUGACGGCCUAUGGGUUGUAAACCUCUUUUUUCAGGGAGGAAUAAAUGACGUGUACCUGAAGAAUAAGCAUCGGCUAACUCCGUGCCAGCAGCCGCGGUAAGACGGAGGAUGCAAGUGUUAUCCGGAAUCACUGGGCGUAAAGCGUCUGUAGGUGGUUUAAUAAGUCAACUGUUAAAUCUUGAGGCUUAACUUCAAAAUCGCAGUCGAAACUAUUAGACUAGAGUAUAGUAGGGGUAAAGGGAAUUUCCAGUGGAGCGGUGAAAUGCGUAGAGAUUGGAAAGAACACCAAUGGCGAAGGCACUUUACUGGGCUAUUACUGACACUGAGAGACGAAAGCUAGGGUAGCAAAUGGGAUUAGAUACCCCAGUAGUCCUAGCCGUAAACGAUGGAUACUAGAUGUUGAACAGAUCGACCUGUGCAGUGUCAAAGCUAACGCGUUAAGUAUCCCGCCUAGGG
rnacentral:rRNA from 1 species